AGCAGCCGCGGUAAUUCCAGCUCCAAUAGCGUAUAUUAAAGUUGUUGCAGUUAAAAGGCUCGUAGUUGAAUUUCGGGAUCGAAUUGUCGGUCGUGCUUCGGUACGCACUGGCAUUAUCGGUUCCUACCUUCUGAAGAACCGCGAUGUCAUUAAUUUGGUGUCGUGGGGAAUCAGGACUGUUACUUUGAAAAAAUUAGAGUGUUUAAAGCAGGCUUACGCUUGAAUACAUUAGCAUGGAAUAAUGAAAUAGGACGUUUGAUUCUAUUUUGUUGGUUUCUAGGAUCGACGUAAUGAUUAAUAGGGAUAGUUGGGGGCAUUAGUAUUCAAUUGUCAGAGGUGAAAUUCUUGGAUUUAUUGAAGACUAACUACUGCGAAAGCAUUUGCCAAGGAUGUUUUCAUUAAUCAAGAACGAAAGUUAGGGGAUCGAAGACGAUCAGAUACCGUCGUAGUCUUAACCAUAAACUAUGCCGACUAGGGAUCGGAUGAUGUUGAUUUUUUAAUGACUC
rnacentral:rRNA from 1 species